GUGUGAUCACUGAAACCAAUUUAUGAGCUUAAAAAUAAACAUUUAACUCUUUGUUUUAAAAUCUUGAUUUCUGUAGCCUUCUAAACAUAUUGUGACAUCUUAGAAGCUACUUAAUGAGGCGCUUCUUGACCUUUCUGUGUGGCAGAUGUCCCUUUGCUCCUAUGUCUCACACUCCUAGCAUUAAUCAUUCCCUUUAGAUUUUUCUGACUCUUCAGUAAUUCCACAACCUUUCUCCAAGCAAUGUAUACAUCACUCUUCCCCAUCUUUUUAUAUCAGCCUAUGUAUCUUUCUAAGGCAUAAUUUAAAUUCAUCAUUUAUUUAAAUUUAUUUUUGUUCCCUACUAUCGGGUAGGGAAUGUGAGGGAUCUAUAAAUAGUAGACUGAAUGGACUCCUGCCUGGAAGUAACUGUCACUCAUGCAGAAUAAGUCAUGUACACAGAUUGUUGUCAUACCAACUUGAAACAGUGUGGAAGUUUUUACUUACUGUAGAGGCAAUGAAAUCAGAGACAUUGAAAGAGGGAGCUAUCUCCUCCAGGCUUUUCUCAAAGAUUUCUACAAUCUCCAGGGCUCAAAUGGAAUGAUGCCCCGGUGAAUGAACAUCAGGUGGUCCACAGGAUGAUAAAGCCCAAGGGAAAGAAGCCAGAAGUAUGACCAGAUAGUCCUAGUGGUUGUAAAGGUAAGGCAAUGAAUUCAUGAAUAUUCACAUAUUCAGAAUGAAUUUCCUGGCCAGAGAGGAGAAAAUUCUAGAGUUGUACAUUCUGCAUUUACUAGGGUGGGUCUGUGUCUCUUGACCCCUCAUUUUUUUCCUUUGUUCCUUUAAAAUUUCUCCCAUUGAUAAAUCAAGGUGAAGGGGGAGAGCAUAAGAAAUCAUGAAAAUAUUAUUUAUAGGCCAUUUUAUUUCACACACACAAUUUUUAGGUUCAAAAGAGACAUAGAUAGAGAAUGAAGAGGAAGAAACAUUGGUUUAUGUGACUCCAGAAAAGUUGGUAACUUCAGAGCCACAUAGGAAAAUAAGAUCCCUAGUUCUCAUUUUGGAUUUUAAAAAAUUUUCAACAGUAAUUGUUACGAG
rnacentral:lncRNA from 12 species